rnacentral:lncRNA from 1 species
UUCACAAGGAAACGAAUCUCCCGGUCUUCCGAUCCUCCGCAAACUGACCUGCGACUCAUUUAUAACGGUUUAUUGACGCGUGAUUAUCGGCUAGCUUUUUUUGCCGAAUCCACCAUCGGACCACCCGCCAUCUUGUCAACACCGCACGUACUUCCGCUACCAGCGCUAGCAGACGGAGUGAGAUCGUUUUAUCACGCUUGAAGAGAGAUCUCCGGAAAAAAAUUAUAUAAACCAUCGCUUUUGCUGGAACUAAUUAGAUUCCAACAGAUUUUCUUCUUUCUAAACGAAGAUAUUAACGCCAGUGACCUGGUGUGAGGACAAAUGUCAGGGCAGUUCCAAUGCACAGGGCAUCGCGAGAUAACGUCUAUCGUACGCUAGGUUGCAUAUGUGUGCGUAAUGAAUUUAUUCCCAUCCACACGAUCAAAAGAUGUAUAAUUUAUGUUGAAACUGUAAUAAUAGAGUAGUGGACGAG